UCGACGAGUUUGAUCAUGGCUCAGAUUGAACGCUGGCGGCAUGCCUAACACAUGCAAGUCGAACGGCAGCGCGGGCUUCGGCCUGGCGGCGAGUGGCGGACGGGUGAGGAAUACAUAGGAAUCUGCCCAGUCGUGGGGGAUAACCCGGGGAAACCCGGACUAAUACCGCAUACGACGGCGACGUGAAAGCAGGGGACCUUCGGGCCUUGCGCGAUUGGAUGAGCCUAUGUCGGAUUAGCUAGUUGGCGGGGUAAAGGCCCACCAAGGCGACGAUCCGUAGCUGGUCUGAGAGGAUGAUCAGCCACACUGGGACUGAGACACGGCCCAGACUCCUACGGGAGGCAGCAGUGGGGAAUAUUGGACAAUGGGCGCAAGCCUGAUCCAGCAAUGCCGCGUGGGUGAAGAAGGCCUUCGGGUUGUAAAGCCCUUUUGUACGGGAAGAAAUCAUUCGGGUUAAUACCCUGGGUGGAUGACGGUACCGUAAGAAUAAGCACCGGCUAACUUCGUG
rnacentral:rRNA from 1 species